UACGUAGGGUGCGAGCGUUAAUCGGAAUUACUGGGCGUAAAGUGUGCGCAGGCGGCCGCGCAAGUCGAGUGUGAAAGCCCCGGGCUUAACUUGGGAAUUGCGCUCGAAACUACGUGGCUAGAGUGUGGCAGAGGGAGGUGGAAUUCCACGUGUAGCGGUGAAAUGCGUAGAGAUGUGGAGGAACACCGAUGGCGAAGGCAGCCCCCUGGGCCAACACUGACGCUCAUGCACGAAAGCGUGGGGAGCAAACAGG
rnacentral:rRNA from 1 species